UGGGAGUAUGAUCAACAACUUUGUCAACAAAUAGCUGAUGUGACGGAACAAGUCAAAAGCUUAAAUGAAAAGUUCGACAAAUUUCUAGAGAGGUGUGAUUUCAAGAGAUAUGAAGUUACCUUCAGCAGGAAUUUGGAGACACAAAUUGAUGAGGUUGUUGAUGAGGAGAAGGUGGAGAGAGAAGUGGAAAAGAUAGAAGAGGAGAAAAUAGAGGAAGAUGAAGCAGAAAGGUUGAGUGAGGGAGAGAAAGAUGAGGAGAAAGAAAAAGCAGUGGUUGAGAAAAAAAGAAAAAAAAAAAGAAAAUAAGAAAAAAGAAAAAAAGAAAGUGGAAGAAGGAGAAGGUUGAGAAAAAAAGGAAGAGAGGAAAGAAGAAAAGAUCAUAUGAAAAGCCCAUUCCUCAUAAAAAGAAAAAUCAUAAAGUUCAAGUACUGUAGGAGAUCUUCAAGAAAUUGGAGAUCAAAAUUCCUAUGAUUGAAACAUGGAAAUCGGUGCUUGGUUUAAUCAACAUUUUGAAGAGAUUCAGCAGGAAAAAGAAAAAGAAGAAAAUAGCAAGCAAAAGGAGUAUCAAUGCCUAUUGAUGGGUGUUUGAACUCUACCGGGUCAAGCUAAUGAAGUUAAAAGAGCGCUAACUGCGAGGUACCUUAGUGAUUGUUGUAUACUAUUUUUCUUUUAGUUGGAUUUGUAAAUAUUGGUAUUUUUAAACAUUAUUUUUUUGGUGGGUAGCAUCUACUGAGGGAUGCUAGAAGAUUUAGGUAGCUACUGAAGGAUACCAGGAAGGUACACCUACUGAUGGGUGUUGGGAAGGUAUGCACUUACUGACAAGUGCUAGACAGAUUUGGGUCAGGCUUGUGACGUUAAAUAAGCGCUACUAGGAGGCAACCUCGGUUCUCUCUUUCACUUUUGCAUUUUAAAUUCUUAGAAUAGGUUGAAUUUUAUUUUUCGUGUGUAUGCUUGGCUUGAACACUUUUUCUGAAGAUGUUUGACUGAAUGAUUUGCAUGAUGAGCCUAUUUGAUGAGGAUUUGAUGUGGAUGAGAAUUGAGUUGCAUAGCAUAUUGAUAUUCUGUGAAACAAAUGGGUGAUGAAUUACGAUUGUGGUUAUGAUGCUAGGCAGGGUGUAUGAAUGAAAGUUGUGUGAGAAAGCAUGUUGUGUGAGGUAUUGAGCUUCAGAGUUUUCAUUGUUAUAUGUAUUGUUCACAGGAAAGCAUGAAUGAUAUUGUCUUAAUCUGGAUGAUUGAUUGAAUUGCAUGUGAAUGUCAUAUGAUCAAGGCCAUUUUUGAGAACCCUUCUCUAGCCAAAUUUUCACCCAAAAUGCUUGAAAAUGUUAUACCCUUUUUGAACCUUAGCNAAUGUCAUAUGAUCAAGGCCAUUUUUGAGAACCCUUCUCUAGCCAAAUUUUCACCCAAAAUGCUUGAAAAUGUUAUACCCUUUUUGAACCUUAGCCUUUACAGGAUGUGAACGCUUGUCUUGACAUUCUUUACCUUGAGUUGGGAUGAGCUUAAUUGUUUGUGAUGAAAAGGUUCAAGUUUGGGGCUGCAUAGGGGAAAUUGGAAGGCACUUGAAAAGCAUUGAGCUCAAAUGUGUGAAAGAAAAAUACAUGAGAAAAAGAAAAGAAAAGAAGAAAAGCAUGAAGAUGGGCUCAAUGCAAAAGAAAAGGGAAAAAGUUGGNAAUAAGUGAGAUUGGUGAGGAAGAGAGUUGUUCUUAAAUGUUGAAUACUAUGGUAGCUCUCUUAACUCAAGGACUUUGCAUUCCAGAAAAACCAAUUUUCUUGUUAGCCCAGCCUCAUUACAAGCCUUGGAAAAGUCCUUUUGAUGGCAUUUGCAUGUAAGAAUUUUGGUUGUUUUAGAUGAA
rnacentral:lncRNA from 1 species